CCAAGCAGUCUUAGACACAUCCUGCAUGGACAUGAAGGCGUGAUCAUUUGUAUGCAGACCUGUUUCUACCUGCUCUUCCACUGGCGAUGACUAGAACAGGCCAGUUCUACCACUUCACAGCUAUGUGGCCAUGGGCAGUUGACAUAACCUCUCUGAACUUCGGAUCAUCACGCACAGACUGUUGGAGGGAAGGGAACCAGAGAAGGAAUAUUAAAAUUGGCAGGAGUGGGCGAGGACUCUUUAAUCACGGAGCACUCACCGG